rnacentral:rRNA from 1 species
GCCCACUUGUGGGUACUCGAGCGGCGAACGGGUGAGUAACACGUGAGUAAUCUGCCCUUCACUUGGGGAUAACGUCCAGAAAUGGGUGCUAAUACCCGGUACUCCUAUUGCUACGCAUGUGGUGGUGGGGAAAGGUUUUCUGGUGGGGGAUGUGCUCGCGGCCUAUCAGCUUGUUGGUGGGGUAAUGGCCUACCAAGGCUUUGACGGGUAGCCGGCCUGAGAGGGUGACCGGCCACACUGGGACUGAGACACGGCCCAGACUCCUACGGGAGGCAGCAGUGGGGAAUAUUGGACAAUGGGCGGAAGCCUGAUCCAGCAACGCCGCGUGAGGGAUGACGGCCUUCGGGUUGUAAACCUCUUUCACCAUUGACGAAGCUGCAUCUUUUUGGGUGUGGUGACGGUAGGUGGGGAAGAAGCACCGGCCAACUACGUGCCAGCAGCCGCGGUAAUACGUAGGGUGCGAGCGUUGUCCGGAAUUAUUGGGCGUAAAGGGCUCGUAGGCGGUUUGUCGCGUCGGGAGUGAAAACCUCGGGCUUAACUCGGGGCUUGCUUUCGAUACGGGCAGACUANAGGUAUGCAGGGGAGAACGGAAUUCCUGGUGUAGCGGUGAAAUGCGCAGAUAUCAGGAGGAACACCGGUGGCGAAGGCGGUUCUCUGGGCAUGAUCUGACGCUGA